rnacentral:tRNA from 1 species
GCGGACGUGGCGGAACUGGUAGACGCAACGGACUUAAAAUCCGUUGGGCGAAAGCCCGUGUGGGUUCGAGUCCCACCGCCCGCA